GGAAGAGGAGGGGGGUGAGGAAGAGGGGGGGUGAGGAAGAGGAGAGGGGGAACAGGAGUUGCUGGUAGGGGAAGGGGAACAGAAUAGCCUGUAUUUAUGAUACUCCUGUCCAAGGCUGUGUACCAUACGGCACUUUGAAACAAAAAAUCCUGACGUGUUCUGUACCGUUGUCCCAAAAUCAAAGCUUCAGUCUCUUUUGGUUAGUCUACAUGCUCCUUUUAGUCUGUCGGGGUGUAACACUGUGUGACGAACCACUGCAGAGGCCAGACUGUCAGUGCUGCGUGACGAACCACUGCAGAGGCCAGACUGUCAGUGCUGCGUGACGAACCACUGCAGAGGCCAGACUGUCAACGCACUUGAUAUCUCAUGCAGAUGGCUGUAUGGACAUGUUUGUUUACUGAAGUAAUAAUAAAUAAAAAACUCGCUCUGAA